UGCAGUCGAGCGCGCCUUUCGGGGUGAGCGGCGGACGGGUUAGUAACGCGUGGGAAUAUACCCUUUGGUACGGAAUAGCCUCUGGAAACGGAGAGUAAUACCGUAUGAGCCCUUCGGGGGAAAGAUUUAUCGCCAAAGGAUUAGCCCGCGUUAGAUUAGGUAGUUGGUGGGGUAAUGGCCUACCAAGCCUACGAUCUAUAGCUGGUUUUAGAGGAUGAUCAGCAACACUGGGACUGAGACACGGCCCAGACUCCUACGGGAGGCAGCAGUGGGGAAUCUUGGACAAUGGGGGCAACCCUGAUCCAGCCAUGCCGCGUGAGUGAUGAAGGCCUUAGGGUCGUAAAGCUCUUUCGCCUGUGAAGAUAAUGACGGUAGCAGGUAAAGAAACCCCGGCUAACUCCGUGCCAGCAGCCGCGGUAAUACGGAGGGGGUUAGCGUUGUUCGGAAUUACUGGGCGUAAAGCGCACGUAGGCGGACUGGAAAGUUGGGGGUGAAAUCCCGGGGCUCAACCCCGGAACUGCCUCCAAAACUAUCAGUCUAGAGUUCGAGAGAGGUGAGUGGAAUUCCGAGUGUAGAGGUGAAAUUCGUAGAUAUUCGGAGGAACACCAGUGGCGAAGGCGGCUCACUGGCUCGAUACUGACGCUGAGGUGCGAAAGUGUGGGGAGCAAACAGGAUUAGAUACCCUGGUAGUCCACACCGUACACGAUGAAUGCCAGUCGUCGGGUAGCAUGCUAUUCGGUGACACACCUAACGGAUUAAGCAUUCCGCCUGGGGAGUACGGUCGCAAGA
rnacentral:rRNA from 1 species